GUACCACUGAAGAGUCCCAAACUAGGACGAAACAGCUGUCCAGUAC
rnacentral:hammerhead_ribozyme from 1 species